GGGCUCAGGAACAUUUUGCUUGUCCAGCUCGCUCCGUUGGUGAUGAAGGAGUUGGCUAAGGCUAACGCUAGCGAUGCUAAUGCUAAAUAUAAGCCUGAUAUUCCCCUCUUGUUGCACAUGACCAAUGUCACGACCAAACAUUAGUGAUUGGUUAUGGCAGAUCCAGUAGUUUUCAACUUCAACAGAGUACCCGCCUUCAAGGAAAUUACCACUUGUCAACA